rnacentral:lncRNA from 1 species
AGAGAAGAGGAAACUGAGGGGAGGCCUAAUGGCGGCCUUCAGCUUCCUCAUGAGGGGAGCGGAGGGACAGGCGCUGUCUCUGGGGACAAUGACAGGACCCGAGGGAACGGCAUGGAGCUGUGACAGGAGAGGCUCAGGCUGGAUUUUUGGGUGCUCCUAUGUGGAGCCUGGAGUUGAACUCGAUGAUCCUUGUGGAUCCCUUCCAACUCAGGUUACUCUAUGAUUAUAAAUCAAAAAAUAUUCUUCCCAUUUCACCAUGGAGACAGACUUUUGACAACUGCUUGGAUAGAAGUGUGGAGCCUGAGAAACUGGCAUGUUUUGGGAGUUUGGCCAUGUAAGCAAGGAUCAACAGAGCAUUAAGAAGAUAGAUGUUUUUAUUUACUUAUUAAAAUAGUAACAUUUUCUUUGAUUUAAAAUAAUCAAAAAUGUAUGUAUAUGGUAUGUUUUAAUUUAGAAUAUGCCAUUUAAAAUUCUUUUAAUCUUUCAUGGAAAUGCCUACCUAAACAUGUCACUUAAUUACAUAUGGUUAUCUAAAUAUAGGGAUACACUUUUUUCUUCAUGUUUAUAAGAAUUCCUGUUUUGAGAGCUGUCAGUCUUUAUUCUUUAAUUGAUACAUAAUGAUAAAAGAUUUUUAUACAUUUUUCACUUGAGUGCAUAUGAAAAGGUCAUUAUCUAGUUGUACAUUUGAAAACUUUGUGAAACACGAAGUUAUUUACACACAGGAACUUUUGUAAUAUUGCCUACAUCAAUGACCACUUUUCCCAUCAUUCCUGGUGUUUAGAUUGUUGUGAUUCUGCUGAUAAAGCUGAUGUUUUUCUUCAGUAUUCCUCUGCCUCUGUCCUUUCCUACAGGCUUACCCUGAGUUUGUCCUGACCUACCUAGAGGAACUAAAUGAAAGAGGAGGUGACCCAGACAGAAAACCGCAUUCACCAUGGGGCCUGAUCUGCAGCUCAUCAGGAGAUAGACAGCAGCUCAGCAGAAGAGAUUCUGCAAAAAAAUGUCAGCAACCCCAAUCAGAAACAACUUUCAGGACCUUUGGAUCCCAUUUAAUGCCUGCAGAUCCCCUAGGGGAGACUACACAGCUGACAGUGGCACUGGUGAGGAAACUAGAAGAGAAACAUCCUAAGGCCUCAGCUCAAAGUUGGGCAGAUUCGGUUAUUACAUUUCUGAAGACUUACCAGUGGGGGAAAAAUGACUGAAGAACACCCCAAGGAGAUGGAAAUGUUCUCCCACUUUCAUCAGUGACACAACUAUGAAUUGGUAAAAUUGUUUGUAAAGGCUAAUUGAAUGUUUGACCUUGAUUCUUUAUAGAAAUUUAUAAAUUAAGCAAUUUAUAAAUUCUAAGUGGACAAAAUAAAGGUGAAAGUCAUGAUCUACA